CUAGAGAGUCACAGGAUUUCUAGACCCUUUACCAAUACUGUACAGGUACCCCCUCUGGACAGUUGACAAUUUCAUUCCAUGGUCACAGAAAGACAGAAAGUCACACAUAAUCACCUAUUUGACAAUUUUGGCUUCACUAAUCGACUUAUAAAGCAUGUUUUAGAACUGUGGGAGGAAGCCGGAGUGCCCGGAGUAAACCCACGCAUGCAUGAGGAGAACAUGAAACUCCCCAUGUAAAGGACUUGAACUGGGGCCUUCUGACUGUGAGGACAAGACAGGCAAGCCCUCUGUCCACCAGGCAAUUUUCCAUUCACCCGUGCCAUCCGUUUGAAUAUGUGUUCAAGUUCUGGGAAGCAGAACAUUAAAAAGAAGAGCAAUCUAA